GGCCAGACUCCUACGGGAGGCAGCAGUGGGGGAUAUUGCACAAUGGGGGGAACCCUGAUGCAGCGACGCCGCGUGGGUGAAGGAGCGUUUCGGCGCGUAAAGCCCUAUCGGCAGGGAAGAAGGAGGACGGUACCUGACUAAGAAGCCCCGGCUAACUACGUGCCAGCAGCCGCGGGAAUACGUAGGGGGCAAACGUUAUCCGGAUUUACUGGGUGUAAAGGGGGCGCAGACGGCGAUGCAAGCCAGGAGUGAAAGCCCGGGGCCCAACCCCGGGACUGCUCUUGGAACUGCGUGGCUGGAGUGCAGGAGGGGCAGGCGGAAUUCCUGGUGUAGCGGUGAAAUGCGUAGAUAUCAGGAGGAACACCGGUGGCGAAGGCGGCUUACUGGACGGCAACUGACGCUGAGGCUCGAAAGCGUGGGGAGCAAACAGGAUUAGAUACCCGUGUA
rnacentral:rRNA from 1 species